rnacentral:lncRNA from 1 species
CACCCGUUUUUUGGGCAUUUUUGCGUCGGAUGAACUUGGGGACGGGACCUUCGGGUGCUUAUUUUUGGGCGCGGCAGUGCCCGCGGCCUAUUUUUGGCACACAGAGGCCCCUCGCAAAGUCUGUCCCCAUUACGAGUCCGGCGGACGAACUUGGCCAGCCCCUCCCCGCAAGGCUAUAGCCCACCCGUUUUUUCGGCAUUUUUGCGGCGGAUGAACUUGGGGACGCGACCUUCAGGCGAUUAUUUUUGCGCGCGGCAGUGCCCGCGGCCUAUUUUUGGCACUCGGAGGCCCCUCGCAAAGUCUGGCCCCAUUCCGAGUCCGGCGGACGAACUUGGCCAGCCGCUCCCCCCAAGGCUAUAGCCCACCCAUUUUUUGGGCAUUUUUGCGGCGGAAGAACUUGGGGACGGGACCUUCGGGCGCUUAUUUUUGGACGCGGCAGUGCCCGCGGCCAAUUUUUGGCACACGGAGGCCCCUUGCAAAGUCUGGCCCCAUUCCGAGUCCGGCGGACGAACUUGGCCAGCCCCUCCCCCCAAGGCUAUAGCCCACCCGUUUUUUGGG